rnacentral:lncRNA from 1 species
CACCACUAUAGGCGGCAGUCCUCCCUACAUACAUAUAUGUAAGGGUUGACAUCAUGUUAAACAUGCAACAAACAGGCUGGAAACACAGCAGCAUGAAAAAAAAAUCGAACCUUCAUAGACGCCCAUACGAAAGCCUGAGAAGGCAACAAUAACCGAGUUUCCCAUAUCAUCAAGAACAACCGUAUCAGGAUCGAUAACGUUAGAAAGGUCCCUCCCCAAAGCGACACAUCAACUUCAAAGCCCCUGUGAAGAGAUCAACCCAUAGAAAACAUGAGGAAGCUAGAUUGGAUGUGGGAGACGAAUGAAGUGAACGAAGGGAUAGAGGAUAACCGUUCAUCAGCCACAGUGAGGGACUGAACCGGGGAAACAUUUUUCUUGAUCUGGACGUGAUUUGGCUUGCUAGCCUUAAUGAGUUUUCCAACAAAAUCUAGGAGCAGAACAUGUUAGACCAGGAGGAUGAAUUGCAGGUAGAAAUGGAGGAAACCGAAAAAUAGCAAAGGCAACGAUACAAUUCAAGAACACGAUAGGAGUGGGGUACAAAGGAUGCACACCUGCAAGAAAGGGGAUGGAUGGUUCCGAGAAGCAAGUUUGGAGAACCGAACAAAUUCGAAGGACUCAGCUUUGAAUGGCAUUUUGGGCGAGACCUCGAGGUCAAACUGCGUCGUUGGAACCAGGGACAACCAGUGUGGGUACUCGCAUGCACGAAACUUAUCACGUGGGGAGCGAAAGGUGUAGCCAGAAAUCUUGUAGACGCACCCAACGGUAACCCGCUUUUCCAGGACCUUUAGGAAGUUUUUGUGGGAGUCACCUUGAAC